GGAAUGAUGGUGACCUAAACCCUCACCAGAGUAACAAUUGGAGGGCAAGUCUGGUGCCAGCAGCCGCGGUAAUUCCAGCUCCAAUAGCGUAUAUUAAACUUGUUGCAGUUAAAAAGCUCGUAGUUGAAUUUCUGCGUCACCGUAUUUUGACUUUUGUCGACUGUCGGUUUCGCUUUUGGGAUUUAUCCCUUUUUACUUUGAGAAAAUUAGAGUGUUUCAAGCAGACUUUUGUCUUGAAUACUUCAGCAUGGAAUAAUAGAGUAGGACUUUGGUUCUAUUUUGUUGGUUUGUGAACCUUAGUAAUGGUUAAUAGGAACGGUUGGGGGCAUUCGUAUUUAACUGUCAGAGGUGAAAUUCUUAGAUUUGUUAAAGACGAACUACUGCGAAAGCAUUUGCCAAGGACGUUUUC
rnacentral:rRNA from 1 species